AAUAUCAAGUUCAACUAAGAUACUAGAAGUUGGAAAAAUGGAGAAAAAAUUAGACAUAGAUAGAUAAGCGACGUUGGGCCCGGUCAGUACUUGCAUGGGUGACCGGCUGGGAAUACCGGGUGUCGCCGGCU
rnacentral:rRNA from 1 species